rnacentral:rRNA from 1 species
UUAAGCAUAUCAAUAAGCGGAGGAAAAGAAACCAACCGGGAUUGCCCUAGUAACGGCGAGUGAAGCGGCAAAAGCUCAAAUUUGAAAUCUGGCCUUCUGCGUCCGAGUUGUAAUUUGUAGAGGAGCGAUCGGUGAAGCCUAGGUCCGAGUCUGCUGGAAGGCAGCGCCAUUGAGGGUGACAGCCCCGUACGACUGAUGGUGAAGCCAUGUGAUCGCCCUUCGAAGAGUCGAGUUGUUUGGGAAUGCAGCUCAAAGCGGGUGGUAAAUUCCAUCUAAAGCUAAAUAUUGGCCAGAGACCGAUAGCGCACAAGUAGAGUGAUCGAAAGAUGAAAAGCACUUUGGAAAGAGAGUGAAACAGUACGUGAAAUUGUUGAAAGGGAAGCGCUUGCGAUCAGACUUGACCCGCACGUUCCCCCGUUCCUUGUGGACGGGAUAUUCGUGUGGAGCAGGCCAGCAUCAGUUCGGACGGUCGGAUAAAGGUUGGAGGAAAGUAGCUUUCACUUGUGGAAGUGUUAUAGCCUCCGGCACAAUACGGCCUGACCGGACUGAGGACAGCGUUCGCUAGGAUGCUGGCGUAAUGGUCGUAAGCGGCCCGUCUUGAAACACGGACCAAGGAGUCUAACAUCCGUGCGAGUGUUUGGGUGUCAAACCCACACGCGCAAUGAAAGUGAACGGAGGUGGGAGCUUAGGCGCACCAUCGACCGAUCCGGACGUCCUCUGAAGGAUUUGAGUAAGAGCACGGGUGUUGGGACCCGAAAGAUGGUGAACUAUGCGUGAAUAGGGUGAAGCCAGGGGAAACCCUGGUGGAGGCUCGCAGCGGUUCUGACGUGCAAAUCGAUCGUCAAAUUUGCGUAUAGGGGCGAAAGACUAAUCGAACC